rnacentral:tRNA from 2 species
AAGACAUUAGUAAAAUUAUUACAAGACCUUGUCAAGGCCUAAUCAUAAGUUAAAACCUUGUAUGUCUUA